GACUGGAUUUGCUACCAAGUCAACAGUAAUACUUUUGAGAGCAGGCACAUGUUUUCUUUACAUAUUCUUUAGAGAAGGCUAAUUUAAUUAAGGCUGUAUAAGAAUAAUGUUUUUUUUAAAAUACUAAUUUGUUUAAAACUGCAAUUGUGUGCCCCCUUUGCAUUACGUAGCUCUGGUCCAGGGCGUUACCUGAGACCAAUUAUAUGUAUUGUAGCGACCCGCACAGACAGCGGUGUGUUAUGUGUUAGGCUAUUAGUGGGUUGUGUUGUACUUACCAGUGUUCUCGGGGUUCAUCAUGCCAAUCAACCUGCUAUCUGCCAAUCACGGGAAUGCCUGGAAUGUUCUAAUGCUGGGCAUCCUGGUGGUUGGCUGAGUGGCAUGGAGGGGAGUUGGGCAGGGGGAGGGAGCAUUGGAAGUUAAGACCAGGUUUAGCCAUUGUUUUUUCUCUUAUGUCUGGCCUUCACAAGAGAAGGUCACGGUUGUCUUGUGGGGUACCUUUCAUUUAUUUGUGGUAGGCUACGGCCAAACAGUAGCCUGUGUAAAGUUGAGUUUAUAAACCGUCAAUUCGUAAACUCAAUCCUUUGUCUGGACAAUUGUACCUUUAUGAUCUAGUCAGGUCAUUACAGUAUUAACCCUAGAUAACUGACAGUGGCGCUGUUUUGAAGCCACCGUGCCGCCAUUUUAUUAUUCCUCCUGUCAUACAUUUUUUUUGAAUAUUUUUGGACCUAUAGAAAUGCAUUUUUACAUUUUUGACAAGUAUAUUCCAUUACAGACACCUUAAAGCUGGAAUCCUUCACGGUGAAACUGCCACAUCCGUUUGCGAUAUUACAACAGCAAAUAUGUACACUGCAAACAACUAACACUGCCCCACCCCACCCCCCACGGACAUCAUUGCAGCGUGAUAGAACAUGUACCGCAAUUUUCUUGUUGCCAUGUUGUGCAAUGCUCCUCACCUCCGCUUUGUCAAACAAAACAACAACAACAGCCGUGGGGCGGUCAGUGACACUGUUUCCCCUACUGCGGAUUCCAUCUUUAAAGUAUACUUUUAAAGUGAACUGAACAUUUAAAAUGUAAAAAAAUAUAUAUGAAAACAUAUUCCAUAGUCUUUUUGGAGAGUACUACUGUUGCAACAAAUAAUGACUUAAAUCUGUGUAAUUUUAUCCUUGUAACAUUUUGUUGAAAUACUGUGGAAUUCCAUUAAUUCCUAUGGACGGACUUCAAAAAGCCACCAGCCUCUCAUUGGCCAUUACAUAGCAUCAGAAAUCCAGGGUUUAUUACACAUCAUUGACUGCAACUUGAGCUUCGAGCCACACGUAACAACCUGGACUAGAGCUAGCGUAACUGAAACCUGCUGUAAAGUGUAAAUGUUUGACAGAAGUGCAACUGUCAUACCUAUACAUAUUUAUAUCAGCCUACUUGUUGAUGUGCUUUAUUUCCCCUAGACUCACAACUGGAAGAAGUUAUAAUGAACACCGAGAGCCAGGUAAGCAAUGACUUGUCUGUCUUGUUGUAAGCCCAAGCAGUAGCCGUCUGUGUAAUAAGGCACCCAUUGUUUUUUUUUAUCUGAGGAAAUCGCUUUAUAAUGCAUGUAUUGAAUCUAUUACUAUUACCCCAGGUGAUCAAGGGCAAGACAGCAGUAGCGUGGGAGCAUGGCAAAACCCUGUCUAUUGAGAGGGUGGAGGUUGCCCCACCUAGGGCUCACAAAGUGAGACCAAUGCUUAUGUAAAGCCUAGUGCUCGCAGGGAUAUUAACCUAAAGAAUAAACUGUGUGCUGUUUCUGUUGAUGAUUGCAGCAAGUGGAAUGUGCCACACUGACUAGGGGUACCUCUAUGAGACUGGUGUAUGCAUGCAUCCCACUGGUUCUGGGCCACAAGGGGUCAGGCGUGGUGGAAGGUGUCAGCCCUGGAGUCUCCAAAUUCUCACCAGGCUUAAAUGUGAUGUCAAGACAAUUAUAGGAUUCCAUAACCCUCUUCGUGUUGAGCCUGGCUCCACAUGUGUAGUGCUCGGGUUGGGGGCUGUGGGCCUAGCUACAGUCAUGGGCUGCAAAGUUGCCGGGGCUGCCAGAAUCAUCGCAGUGGAUAUCAAUCCCGGGCAAGUUUGACAAGGCUGAGGCGUUUUGGGCCACUGAGUUUGUGAACCCCAAGGACCACAGCAAGCCCACCCAGGAGGUGCUGGUGGAGAUGACCGGCAAAGUGGUGGACUUCGACUUCUUUCUUUUUUUUAUCCUUUCAAAUGGUAAAAUUCAAAGCAAUUGGGCUACAGGUAAGACGGUUUGUGUGGUCACUCACCUCCGUUGUGGGUAUUGGCCCGCUAUAGUCUGGUGGUGUCAGUACAAUAAUGGCCAGAAUAACAUAGCUAAUGGACAAACCGUCUCAGUUCUGGAAUGUCUUCCUUUUUCUUCCUGAGAGUUGCCUGGAGAGGUGUAAGGAUCCCUGGGGUGUCUGUGUCGUAGGAUGGACAGAGAUAGGGUAGAUAUCUAGUCCCUGAAGACCUCUUGGUGGUCUUGGAAGUGGACAUACUUUGGAAGGUGAAAGAGUUUGGAGAGUGUCCCCAAACUCGUUGGGGAGUACAUGAACAAGAAACUUACCGUAAGCUGGAUGUGUUUGUGACCCACACUCUGACCCUGGAUCAGAUCAAUGAGGCUUUGGACCUCCUGAACGGUGGGAAGAGGACCUGAAGUGAGCAGUUUAUGCUCGAAAACCCACAACUGUCGCCUGAAGCAGUUCUGCAUGGAAGAGUGGGCCGAAAUUCCUCCACAGCGAUGUGAGAGACUGAUCAACAACUACAGGAAGCGUUUGGUUGCAGUCAUUGCAGCUAAAGGUGGCAAAACCA